GGGAAGUUGGCUCAGUGGUAGAGUGCUUGCCUCGCAUGCAUGAGGCCCUGAGUUCAAUUCCUCAGUACCA
rnacentral:tRNA from 1 species